rnacentral:lncRNA from 1 species
CGCACCGUGGCUCCCCCGACACGACCCGCCGGCAUCAAUAGCCAGCAUCCCGGGUCUGGCCCCUACACUCACAUCCCCUGGCCCAGGGGGAGGAUGAGCAGGACAGGCGAAGCACAAAGUCUCAACUCAACUUUUUAAAAACAUUAUUUGCGUGUGUAUGCGUGUAGCAGGGAGAAUGAGCUGAUGCCGAGGGUCCAGCCACCCGCCUUCUGCCUUCUCCUCCCCCUGCCGCCACUGCCCUCUCAGACGCGCGCGCACACACGGCACUUGGGCCGGGUUUCAGCGCUCCGUCCCCUGGCUUGGAUGGGAGUUUUCAUUUCCGAAGGAGGCAGAACCCGUGCAGCGCGUUGAAGGGCUGGAGCCCCAAGUUACUUCUCGCCAGCCCUGGCCUCCCGCUGUCAUUCGCGCCAGCUGGCCGGGGGAAGGGACCCUCACGCCGAGCUUUGUUGUGGAAAUCCUGGUUACCUGGUAAGUGGAUGCCAUAGGAACUUUGUUCGCUGGU